rnacentral:rRNA from 1 species
CUCAGGAUGAACGCUAGCGACAGGCCUAACACAUGCAAGUCGAGGGGCAGUGAAGAGGUAGCAAUACCUUUGUCGGCGACCGGCGCACGGGUGAGUAACACGUAUGCAAUCCACCUGUAACAGGGGGAUAACCCGGAGAAAUCCGGACUAAUACCCCAUAAUAUGGGCGCCCCGCAUGGAGAGCCCAUUAAAGAGAGCAAUUUUGGUUACAGACGAGCAUGCGCUCCAUUAGCCAGUUGGCGGGGUAACGGCCCACCAAAGCGACGAUGGAUAGGGGUGCUGAGAGGAAGGUCCCCCACAUUGGAACUGAGACACGGUCCAAACUCCUACGGGAGGCAGCAGUGAGGAAUAUUGGUCAAUGGUCGGCAGACUGAACCAGCCAAGUCGCGUGAGGGAAUACGGCCCUACGGGUUGUAAACCUCUUUUGUCGGAGAGUAAAGUACGCUACGUGUAGUGUAUUGCAAGUAUCCGAAGAAAAAGCAUCGGCUAACUCCGUGCCAGCAGCCGCGGUAAUACGGAGGAUGCAAGCGUUAUCCGGAUUUAUUGGGUUUAAAGGGUGCGUAGGCGGCACGCCAAGUCAGCGGUGAAAUUUCUGGGCUCAACCCGGAGUGUGCCGUUGAAACUGGCGAGCUAGAGUACACAAGAGGCAGGCGGAAUGCGUGGUGUAGCGGUGAAAUGCAUAGAUAUCACGCAGAACCCCGAUUGCGAAGGCAGCCUGCUAGGGUGAAACAGACGCUGAGGCACGAAAGCGUGGGUAUCGAACAGGAUUAGAUACCCUGGUAGUCCACGCAGUAAACGAUGAAUACUAACUGUUUGCGAUACAAUGUAAGCGGUACAGCGAAA